rnacentral:rRNA from 1 species
CCUACGGGUGGCAGCAGUGAGGAAUAUUGGUCAAUGGGAGAGAUCCUGAACCAGCCAAGCCGCGUGCGGGAAGACGGCCCUAUGGGUUGUAAACCUCUUUUGUCGGGGAAUAAAACCCGGGACGUGUCCCGCGCUGCGUGUGUCCGAAGAGAAAGCAUCGGCUAACUCGGUGCCAGCAGCCGCGGUAAUACGGAGGAUGCGAGCGUUUUCCGGUUUUAUUGGGUUUAAAGGGUGCGUGGGCGGUCCUUUAAGUCGGCGGUAAAAUUGCGGGGCUCAACCCCGUCGUGCCGUUGAAACUGGCAGCCUUGAGUGGGCGAGAGGUAGGCGGAAUGCGCGGUGUAGCGGUGAAAUGCAUAGAUAUCGCGCAGAACUCCGAUUGCGAAGGCAGCGUACCGGCGCGAGACUGACGCUGAGGCACGAAAGCGUGGGGAUCGAACAGGAUUAGAUACCCGUGUAGUC